rnacentral:rRNA from 1 species
UACAGAGGUGGCAAGCGUUGUUCGGAAUUACUGGGCGUAAAGCGCGUUCAGGCGGUUUGGCAAGUCGGGCAUGAAAUCUCUCGGCUCAACCGGGAGAGGUUGUCCGAUACUGCUGGACUUGAGGGCAGUAGAGGGUGGUGGAAUUCCGGGUGUAGUGGUGAAAUGCGUAGAUAUCCGGAGGAACACCAGUGGCGAAAGCGGCCACCUGGACUGCACCUGACGCUGACACGCGAAAGCUAGGGGAGCGAACGGG